AUCAUUUCACCUACAAUUUCAGAUUCUUCCCUUCAAAUUUAAGCAUACCAAUACUGCUCAAACACUAUGCACAAAUAAUUGCCUUCAUGAACACAACUCAAAUUAAACUGACCUGGCAACUCUCAGAUAUCUUAUACCUCAUACAAUGGGAUUUCAAUUGUUUCAUUGUUUUCAUUGUUUUAACCUAUACUUCAGAAUUCCUUUGCUGUGAUUUUUUCACUUUAUUUGUGCAAUGUUUUAGAGACUGAUUUAUGUAUUUCCCCAUGAUGUGUUAUCAUUGUAUUUUUUAGCCUUUUUUUAUCACGGUUCCUUUGCUGUGAUUUUUUCCUCUUUAUUGCCCCAUGAUUUUUUUACUGUAUUUCUGCAUUGUUUUAGAGAGUGAUUUAUAUAGUUGUGCCUGUCCAUUAGUCACCCAAUACCAGAUUUGUUUGAUGUCAGCUUAUGCCUUUCGUUCAUUCCUGC
rnacentral:lncRNA from 1 species